CCUACGGGAGGCAGCAGUGGGGAAUAUUGGACAAUGGGCGAAAGCCUGAUCCAGCAAUGCCGCGUGAGUGAUGAAGGCCUUCGGGUCGUAAAGCUCUUUUACCAGGGAUGAUAAUGACAGUACCUGGAGAAUAAGCUCCGGCUAACUCCGUGCCAGCAGCCGCGGUAAUACGGAGGGAGCUAGCGUUGUUCGGAAUUACUGGGCGUAAAGAGUACGUAGGCGGUUAUUCAAGUCAGAGGUGAAAGCCCGGGGCUCAACCCCGGAACUGCCUUUGAAACUAGAUAACUAGAGUCUUGGAGAGGUUAGUGGAAUUCCGAGUGUAGAGGUGAAAUUCGUAGAUAUUCGGAAGAACACCAGUGGCGAAGGCGACUAACUGGACAAGUACUGACGCUGAGGUACGAAAGCGUGGGGAGCAAACAGGAUUAGAUACCCUGGUAGUCCACGCCGUAAACGAUGAUAACUAGUUGUUCGGUCACUUGGUGACUGAGUGACGCAGCUAACGCAUUAAGUUAUCCGCCUGGGGAUACGGUCGCAAGAUUAAAACUUAAGGAAUUGACGG
rnacentral:rRNA from 1 species